GAAAUGCGAUAAGUAAUGUGAAUUGCAGAAUUCAGUGAAUCAUCGAAUCUUUGAACGCACAUUGCGCCCCCUGGUAUUCCGGGGGGCAUACCUGUUCGAGCGUCAUUACAUCCCCUCAAGCGUAGCUUGGUCUUGGGCGUCGCUUCCCCCCCCCUUGGGGCAGCGUGCCUUAAAAGUAGCGGCGGACUGGCGUGGCUUUGGACGAAGUAGAGUUCCUCCCGUCCUGAAAGCCUUGCGCCGUGGCCUGCCAAAACCCCAUGAAUCCAUGACGAUCGACCUCGGAUCAGGUAGGGAUACCCGCUGAACUUAA
rnacentral:misc_RNA from 1 species